rnacentral:siRNA from 1 species
AGCAAGAGAUGGAGGGAAGCAGCA